GGAGAGACAGCUCAGUGUUUAAGAGCAUUUGCUGAUUUUGCAAAGGACCUGGGUUCGAUUCCCAGUAUCCACA
rfam:Mus musculus chromosome 4, GRC primary reference assembly.